rnacentral:tRNA from 52 species
AAAAUCCGUCGAUUUUUGAAAUCAUGAGGGUUCAAGUCCC